rnacentral:lncRNA from 1 species
GCUUGGAACGAGUACGAGACUCGACACGUCAGCCGCGCCUUCACUUAACGGAAUGGAAUUUGUCAACGGUUCCAUGGGACGUCGAAUAAAAUUCAAAUGGGCAGGGGUGGAUUUUCGUGACGAGAACGUGCCAUCCGCCGAUAAUUCAACGGUUAACAACGGUUGAUUAUGAAAGAGCUUUUUCUCAUCAAGGAAGAAGGAAACGUUAAUAUGGAAAUCUUACGAAUUUUCACGAAGUUUCCCUUUAAGCUGAAAAAUCAUUUUUCAAGUGAAUAUUAUUUUUUAUAAUUAAAUAGCCGUCUACAGGCCAGAUUAAAGGCUUUCUUCUUUGUGAGAUAAUCACUUUGAAAAGGUACGCGAAGCUUUACCAAUUAUCUAGAGGCUUCUACCGUCGGUUUUUCCGGGAACAGAAAUUUUAAUUAGUUCAAAAUUUGGAUAAGCUCAAGAAAACUGAAAAUCAUAAGAUUAUACAUCUCGACCAUUGACGUGAUUAAUCUCUGUUCAAAAUGAAAAAUAGUAAAGAGAGGAUGCACAAUAUCGAUACAACAAUAUUUUUCGGAUCAUUUUUCGACUUUCUUCGCCUCCCUGUUCAUCGCCUUUCUCGUAACACGGUAAACUACUUUCGACUCUUUUUAUCCCGGUCUAAAAGAGGAAGAAGAAGAAGAAGAAGAAGCAGUUGAGAGGGGGUGGUCGGGAGCGGGUCCAGGAAGCUGCAUUCAAACCAAGGGAUAUAUAUCCUCGGCUCUUUGGCAUCGAGAAAACUAACGAGAGGGCAUUCCAGGACUUGGCUUAAGGAAGUUUAUUUUCUUAAUACCGAGGGCCGUGCAUCAGUCUUCCUGUUAGAGUCGCAAGUCGCUAUUCAGAAGCUUCAUUAGGAGAAGCACGCAUUCAGAUUGCUUGGUGAACUCGCGUGACCCCCGGCCAUUCCAAAGGUUUUAAGAGUAUCGGUGUCUUUUUUUAGAAUUUUCUCCUCCUCUAUAUUUCUUUCUACUUUCUUUUUUUCGUUACUUUCGUUUCCCUCUUCUUACUCUUCUUCAACUGUUUCUUCCAUCUCGUUCCUCUUUCGUACUCCGACCACUUUUUUAAUUUUAUUAUAAAGGUAAUGAAAGACGCGUUGUAAAAUUUGCUCUGUCUGGGAAAUUAAUUUCUAUAGCCUAAGAAAUUGUUAUAAACGGUAUCAAAAUCCUCUUUUUCAUCGAAUAACCUUCGAAAAGUUCCG